UACGUAGGGGGCAAGCGUUGUCCGGAUUUAUUGGGCGUAAAGAGCGUGUAGGCGGCCAGAUAGGUCCGUUGUGAAAGCUCGAGGCUCAACCUCGAGACGCCGAUGGAAACCAUCUGGCUAGAGUCCGGAAGAGGAGAGUGGAAUUCCCGGUGUAGCGGUGAAAUGCGCAGAUAUCGGGAAGAACACCCGUGGCUAAGGCGGCUCUCUAGUACGGUACUGACGCUGAGACGCGAAAGCGUGGGGAGCGAACAGG
rnacentral:rRNA from 1 species